CGGCGCUGAGCUGCGGGCCGGGCUCCCGCUCCCCCCUGCCGUCGGUGGCUGCGAGAAUCGCUGCUGCCACGCGCGUGGGCCUCCCGCUGCACGGGGUGCUGCUGGAGAUGCUCUUCUCAAAAUCAAAGCGUCACAAAAUGGCCCUUCCUCGUUGCUGGCUUCUUCCAGCUGUGGCGGUGCUGUUGGCACUGCGCGGCGGCUGCUGGCACUGCUCAGCCCGCGCUGCUGGGAGCCCAGGGGCCGCACGGGGUGGGUGCCGGGUGGAGCCGUGGGAGCUGUGUGCUGGCUGCUGCUGCGCCUUGGAAGUGAAGGGCAAGCGUUGGUUGUAGAAUUAAGCUUUUCCUCCAUCAAACAUCGUAAUUUUUGAGGGAAAUCUCUGUAUCCUGGUGGCUAAUUGUAAAAUGAAGAUACGGAGCGAACGUGCUAUUAGCUGAGGAAACAAAACAUUUUGCAAGGAACUUGCUCACCAGCAUGGACCCCUGCUGUCAGUCAGCCAAGAGCCAACUUCUCCUGGCACUCGUUAGCAAAACAUGAGUUCUGC
rnacentral:lncRNA from 1 species